CCUCCAUUUCUUCCCCUUCUGUUUGCCAGGUCCCAUCACCUCCUGGCAAAUUGAAGGGGAAGAAAUGGAGG